AUGCUGACGAGUGGCGAACGGGUGAGGGAGGCAUCGGAACGUGCCCGAGAGUGGGGGAUAACGAAGCGAAAGCUUUGCUAAUACCGCAUACGAUCUCGGGAUGAAAGCAGGGGACCGCAAGGCCUUGCGCUCACGGAGCGGCCGAUGGCAGAUUAGGUAGUUGGUGGGAUAAAAGCUUACCAAGCCGACGAUCUGUAGCUGGUCUGAGAGGACGACCAGCCACACUGGGACUGAGACACGGCCCAGACUCCUACGGGAGGCAGCAGUGGGGAAUUUUGGACAAUGGGCGCAAGCCUGAUCCAGCCAUGCCGCGUGCAGGAUGAAGGCCUUCGGGUUGUAAACUGCUUUUGUACGGAACGAAAAGACUCUGGUUAAUACCUGGGGUCCAUGACGGUACCGUAAGAAUAAGCACCGGCUAACUACGUGCCAGCAGCCGCGGUAAUACGUAGGGUGCGAGCGUUAAUCGGAAUUACUGGGCGUAAAGCGUGCGCAGGCGGUUAUGUAAGACAGAUGUGAAAUCCCUGGGCUCAACCUGGGAACUGCAUUUGUGACUGCAUAGCUAGAGUACGGCAGAGGGGGAUGGAAUUCCGCGUGUAGCAGUGAAAUGCGUAGAUAUGCGGA
rnacentral:rRNA from 1 species